rnacentral:rRNA from 1 species
GGAGGUUGGCUUAGAAGCAGCCAUCCUUUAAAGAAAGCGUAAUAGCUCACUGGUCGAGUCGUCCUGCGCGGAAGAUGUAACGGGGCUCAAGCCAAUAACCGAAGCUGCGGAUGCACAGCAAUGUGCGUGGUAGGGGAGCGUUCUGUAGGUCUGUGAAGGUGUCUCGUAAGGGAUGCUGGAGAUAUCAGAAGUGCGAAUGCUGACAUGAGUAGCGAUAAAGCGUGUGAAAAGCACGCUCGCCGAAAGCCCAAGGUUUCCUGCGCAACGUUCAUCGGCGCAGGGUGAGUCGGCCCCUAAGGCGAGGCCGAAAGGCGUAGUCGAUGGGAAACGGGUCAAUAUUCCCGUACCGAUCACAGAUGCGAUGGGGGGACGGAGAAGGUUAGCUCAGCCGGGUGUUGGACGUCCCGGUUUAAGCGUGUAGGCGUGCUGCAUAGGCAAAUCCGUGCGGCUUAGCUGAGGCGUGAUGACGAGUCCCUUUUAGGGACGAAGUGAGUGAUACCCUGCUUCCAGGAAAAGCCUCUAAGCUUCAGUCUGUGAUUGACCGUACCGCAAACCGACACAGGUGGGCAGGAUGAAAAUUCUAAGGCGCUUGAGAGAACCCAGGAGAAGGAACUCGGCAAAUUGACACCGUAACUUCGGGAGAAGGUGUGCCCCGGUAGCGUGUAGUGGCUUGCCCACGAAGCGUGAUGGGGUCGCAGAGAAUAGGUGGCUGCGACUGUUUAACAAAAACACAGCACUCUGCAAAGUCGAAAGACGACGUAUAGGGUGUGACGCCUGCCCGGUGCCGGAAGGUUAAGUGAUGGGGUGCAAGCUCUUGAUCGAAGCCCCGGUAAACGGCGGCCGUAACUAUAACGGUCCUAAGGUAGCGAAAUUCCUUGUCGGGUAAGUUCCGACCUGCACGAAUGGCGUAACGAUGGCCACACUGUCUCCUCUUGGGACUCAGCGAAGUUGAAAUGUUUGUGAAGAUGCAAUCUCCCCGCGGCUAGACGGAAAGACCCCAUGAACCUUUACUGUAGCUUUGCAUUGGACUUUGACGGGACUUGUGUAGGAUAGGUGGGAGGCGUUGAGAUGCGGUCGCCAGAUCGCAUGGAGCCAUCCUUGAAAUACCACCCUGGUGUCGUUGAGGUUCUAACCUGGCCCCCUGAAUCGGGGGUGGGGACCGUGCAUGGCAGGCAGUUUGACUGGGGCGGUCUCCUCCUAAAGGGUAACGGAGGAGUACGAAGGUCUCCUAGGUACGGUCGGACAUCGUACUGAUAGUGCAAUGGCAAAAGGAGGCUUGACUGCGAGACCCACAAGUCGAGCAGGUGCGAAAGCAGGUCAUAGUGAUCCGGUGGUUCUGUAUGGAAGGGCCAUCGCUCAACGGAUAAAAGGUACUCUGGGGAUAACAGGCUGAUUCCGCCCAAGAGUUCACAUCGACGGCGGAGUUUGGCACCUCGAUGUCGGCUCAUCACAUCCUGGGGCUGUAGCCGGUCCCAAGGGUAUGGCUGUUCGCCAUUUAAAGUGGUACGUGAGCUGGGUUCAAAACGUCGUGAGACAGUUUGGUCCCUAUCUGCCGUGGGCGCUGGAGAUUUGAGAGGGCCUGCUCCUAGUACGAGAGGACCGGAGUGGACGUACCUCUGGUGGACCGGUUGUGACGCCAGUCGCAUCGCCGGGUAGCUAAGUACGGAAGAGAUAAACGCUGAAAGCAUCUAAGCGUGAAACUCGCCUCAAGAUAAGAUCUCCCGGGGACUCGAUCCCCCUGAAGGGUCGCGGAAGACCACCGCGUUGAUAGGUCGGGUGUGGAAGCGCAGCAAUGCGUUAAGCUAACCGAUACUAAUUGCCCGUGCGGCUUGACCCU